UACGAAGGGGGCGAGCGUUGUUCGGAUUUACUGGGCGUAAAGGGCGCGCAGGCGGCUCAUUUUGUCAGGCGUGAAAGCCCCGGGCUUAACCCCGGGUCUGCAUUCGAUACGGGCUGGCUGGAGUGUGGUAGGGGAGAUCGGAAUUCCUGGUGUAGCGGUGAAAUGCGCAGAUAUCAGGAGGAACACCGGUGGCGAAGGCGGAUCUCUGGGCCAUUACUGACGCUGAGGAGCGAAAGCGUGGGGAGCGAACAGG
rnacentral:rRNA from 1 species